ACAGGGCUAAUCUGGUUUGACUGAUACUGGAAUGCAUUUGCUAAGUCUGCUCAGCCUCACUGAAUAUCGGGAAAUGAAUUGAUGGACUCCCUCCAAAUUCUGCCAGGAGCAGAAGAGAAACAGAAAUUUCAGUGGCCUCUGCCAGCUACUUGUUGCCUACAAUGGAGCUGCUGCAGUUUGAGCUUGAAGCAGUGGGGGAAGAGCUGGCACAGAUCUUGGAUUGUUGGAUACUACCAACAGAGGCCUAAAUUGCUUGCCUUAUUAUGAGAUCCUUGAGUCCUGCAAGUACAUGGGGUAAAGUUUGCCUGUGUCCCUGAAAAUUCCAACUAAGCAACUGGUAAUGUUUAGUUCCUUUGUUUG